rnacentral:piRNA from 1 species
CCGAAAAGAGUCAGCAAAGGAUGAUGGGA